UCUAAGUUAUAAACAAAUCUAUACUGUGAAACUGCGAAUGGCUCAUUAUAUCAGUUAUAGUUUAUUUGAUGGUUCUUGCUACUUGGAUAACCGUAGUAAUUCUAGAGCUAAUACAUGCAUCAAACCUCGACUUUUUUGGAAGAGGUGUAUUUAUUAGAUGGAAACCAAUGCGGGGCAACCCGGAUUCAGGUGAUUCAUAAUAACUUUCGGAUCGAUCUUCGGAUCGAUGCAUCAUUCAAGUUUCUGCCCUAUCAGCUUUGGAUGGUAGGGUAUUGGCCUACCAUGGCUUUAACGGGUAACGGAGAAUUAGGGUUCGAUUCCGGAGAGGGAGCCUGAGAAACGGCUACCACAUCCAAGGAAGGCAGCAGGCGCGCAAAUUACCCACUCCUAGCUCGGGGAGGUAGUGACGAAAAAUAACAAUACGGGACUCUUACGAGGCCCCGUAAUUGGAAUGAGUACACUUUAAAUCCUUUAACGAGGAUCUAUUGGAGGGCAAGUCUGGUGCCAGCAGCCGCGGUAAUUCCAGCUCCAAUAGCGUAUAUUAAAGUUGUUGCAGUUAAAAAGCUCGUAGUUGGAUCUCGGGAGCGGUCCGGCGGUCCUCCUCACGGAGGUUUCACUGCCGCGUCGCCGCUCUCACCUCACCGGCUCUCCCCGGGU
rnacentral:rRNA from 1 species